rnacentral:rRNA from 1 species
AAUCCCCGGGCUCAACCUGGGAACUGCAUUCGAAACUGGCAGGCUGGAGUCUUGUAGAGGGGGGUAGAAUUCCAGGUGUAGCGGUGAAAUGCGUAGAGAUCUGGAGGAAUACCGGUGGCGAAGGCGGCCCCCUGGACAAAGACUGACGCUCAGGUGCGAAAGCGUGGGGAGCAAACAGGAUUAGAUAUCCUGGUAGUCCACGCUGUAAACGAUGUCGACUUGGAGGUUGUUCCCUUGAGGAGUGGCUUCCGGAGCUAACGCGUUAAGUCGACCGCCUGGGGAGUACGGCCGCAAGGUUAAAACUCAAAUGAAUUGACGGGGGCCCGCACAAGCGGUGGAGCAUGUGGUUUAAUUCGAUGCAACGCGAAGAACCUUACCUACUCUUGACAUCCAGAGAACUUAGCAGAGAUGCUUUGGUGCCUUCGGGAACUCUGAGACAGGUGCUGCAUGGCUGUCGUCAGCUCGUGUUGUGAAAUGUUGGGUUAAGUCCCGCAACGAGCGCAACCCUUAUCCUUUGUUGCCAGCGAUUCGGUCGGGAACUCAAAGGAGACUGCCAGUGAUAAACUGGAGGAAGGUGGGGAUGACGUCAAGUCAUCAUGGCCCUUACGAGUAGGGCUACACACGUGCUACAAUGGCAUAUACAAAGAGAAGCGACCUCGCGAGAGCAAGCGGACCUCAUAAAGUAUGUCGUAGUCCGGAUUGGAGUCUGCAACUCGACUCCAUGAAGUCGGAAUCGCUAGUAAUCGUGGAUCAGAAUGCCACGGUGAAUACGUUCCCGGGCCUUGUACACACCGCCCGUCACACCAUGGGAGUGGGUUGCAAAAGAAGUAGGUA